UUGAACAGAUGGUGGGAAAAGCAGUAACGCUGAGGCCCGGUCCAAGUGAUAUUAAAACCCAGCGGGACAUAAUAUUUAAAUGAACAUUUAAUUAAAAAAUAACAUGUAAACCCUUAUCAAUCGGUCACGCUGGUUUUAAGUCACAAAAGGACAAAAUAGGAUGGACGGAUAGGAUAAUAAGAUAUGCGCACGAUCUAACGACCUUGGAAGUGACACGUCUCAUCUUCUUCCAC
rnacentral:lncRNA from 1 species